AAGACUAUACUUUCAGGGAUCAUUUCUAUAGUAUGUUAUUGUAGGCCUGUAUUGCUAUGAACCCUCUUAGGGUUGCUUUCACCACAUCUCAUAGG
rnacentral:snoRNA from 1 species